AGGCCUGUGGACGUAGCAUAAAAGUUGGACUGUGACAGCAAUGAGAUAUGCCUCACAGACCUCACAGGAAGUAUAUUAGAAGAAUCUGAUCCUAAAAUGGCUAUUGUAAAUUCUGAAGAAACAACUGCUCACCCGUGUCAGCUAGUUACUUGAAUUGUUACACAAAAUUACAAGAAAACUGAACAUGAACUCAGAUUCAAGUGUCCCCUAGAAAGGCAGCUGGGAAUGUUUUCCAGAAAUAGAAGAUGGCUGUAACAAACAAUAAAAUAUAGGCAGUGAGAGCCACAAUGAUCUCUUUAUCACAUCUGUCAUCACUGCACAUACUGACGGAUUUAUCAGAAUGCUAUGUGAGUCUGAAAGCUAUGUGUCACAA